rnacentral:rRNA from 1 species
CCGGUGACCGGCGCACGGGUGAGUAACACGUAUGCAACCUGCCCUCCGCAGGGGGAUAACCCGGAGAAAUCCGGACUAAUACCGCGUGGUACAUCUGUGGGGCAUCCCACGGGUGUUAAAAGGAAGCGAUUCCGGCGGAGGAUGGGCAUGCGGCGCAUUAGCUAGUUGGCGGGGUAACGGCCCACCAAGGCGACGAUGCGUAGGGGUUCUGAGAGGAAGGUCCCCCACACUGGUACUGAGACACGGACCAGACUCCUACGGAAGGCAGCAG